rnacentral:rRNA from 1 species
CCUACGGGAGGCAGCAGUGAGGAAUAUUGGUCAAUGGACGAGAGUCUGAACCAGCCAAGUAGCGUGAAGGAUGACUGCCCUAUGGGUUGUAAACUUCUUUUAUAUGGGAAUAAAAUGUUCCACGUGUGGGAUUUUGUAUGUACCAUAUGAAUAAGGAUCGGCUAACUCCGUGCCAGCAGCCGCAGUAAUACGGAGGAUCCGAGCGUUAUCCGGAUUUAUUGGGUUUAAAGGGAGCGUAGGUGGAUUGUUAAGUCAGUUGUGAAAGUUUGCGGCUCAACCGUAAAAUUGCAGUUGAAACUGGCAGUCGUGAGUACAGUAGAGGUGGGCGGAAUUCGUGGUGUAGCGGUGAAAUGCUGAGAUAUCACGAAGAACUCCGAUUGCGAAGGCAGCUCACUGGACUGCAACUGACACUGAGGCUCGAAAGUGUGGGUAUCAAACAGGAUUAGAUACCCGAGUAGUC